rnacentral:misc_RNA from 1 species
GAACAAUUAUGGUUGGAAAUUCUACAUCCUUAGGAGUCGUUUGAUAUGAGGUAUUAAUUAUUAGAUAUAAUAGUCAAGAAAAAUAAAAUGCAAGAUUAUAUUGUCCUGCAUUUGGUUAGAGGUAUUAGGCUGACUUGAAAUAACUUAUUCUUGAAUAACCUAAUUCCAACCAAACAACCACCGGGCGUUUGCAAUAGCAAUUACAACCGAUUUUUGACUCGCCCAUAAUGACCAUCCUGAAAUAACUUAUCCCAAGAUAACGUAUUUGCAACCAAACAACCGCCGAGCAUUUGCAAUAGCAAUUCCAAUCGAUUUUUGACUCGCCAAUAAUAAACCCAUAUUCUACAAGCAUUUUCCAAGAAAGACU